UACGUAGGGACCGAGCGUUGUCCGGAAUCAUUGGGCGUAAAGAGCUCGUAGGCGGCGUGUCGCGUCGACCGUGAAAACUUGUGGCUCAACUACAAGCUGGCGGUCGAUACGGGCAGGCUGGAGUUCGGUAGGGGAGACUGGAAUUCCUGGUGUAGCGGUGAAAUGCGCAGAUAUCAGGAGGAACACCGGUGGCGAAGGCGGGUCUCUGGACAGUUCCUGACGCUGAGGCACGAAGGCCAGGGGAGCAAACGGG
rnacentral:rRNA from 1 species